UACGGAGGGUGCAAGCGUUAAUCGGAAUUACUGGGCGUAAAGCGUGCGUAGGCGGCGCGUUAAGUCAGAUGUGAAAGCCCUGGGCUUAACCUGGGAACUGCAUUUGAUACUGGCGCGCUAGAGUUUAAUAGAGGGGAGUGGAAUUUCCGGUGUAGCGGUGAAAUGCGUAGAGAUCGGAAGGAACACCAGUGGCGAAGGCGACUCCCUGGAUUAAAACUGACGCUGAGGUACGAAAGCGUGGGUAGCAAACAGG
rnacentral:rRNA from 1 species